UUCAGAUUUCCCAAGAGAAAACGUGGAAUCUAAACUGGAUCAAGCUAACGACAAUAAGAAUAAUAACAACAAUAAUAAUAAUAACAACAACAACAACAACAAUAAUAAUAAUAAUAAUAAUAAUAAUAAUAAUAAUAAUAAUAAUAAUAACAACCCAAAUCUGGUGUUUGCCAUGAAGUUACAACAUCCUAAAGAUCCGCUAAUGGAGACUAUAAUCCGAUCAGCAAAGUUACACAUUUAUAAACGAGGAGGCAAAAUGGAUGCCUCGAACGAAUCCUCUAGUCUUGAUUCAUUAAUGGAGGUCAACGUGUAUCACGUGACUGCCGAUUCGAACACAAGCGAAACCAAACGAACUCUUGUCGACACGAAAAUCAUCGACUUCAGAGAAUCCGGUUGGGUGAUAUUUAAUAUCCAACAAGCCCUACAAAACUGGUUAGACGGACCUACAAAGAAAGACGGAUUACUCAGACUGCAGUUGUCCAGCAAAGCCUGUACGAAAGACCUACAUCGUAUUUUCCAAGUAAAUCGACUGAUGAAAAGAUCUUUGCGCGACCAAGAACCGCGACUGAACGUAAAGACGUCGGAAAGGUUAAUCCUAGGAAGAGUGAAGAGAGACAUCCACACUGGCGAUUGCGAGAAGGGUGACGGAGAGACGCAGUGCUGUCGCUUUUCGCUGAAAAUCGACUUUAAGGAACUUAGCUGGGACGACUGGGUGAUAGCGCCCACGUCAUUUAACGCAUACUAUUGUGAAGGCGAUUGUGGAAGCAGUCGGUUAGCGAACGACUGGGCUCUUGUAAAGAAUUUAAUCCACCAAGCGAACCCGGAGAAGAUGCCGGUCGGUGUGUGUUGUGUACCGAACGAGUACAAAGGUUUAACGUUGCUGCAUUAUAACAACGACGGCCAACUGACGCUAUCAGAGAAACAGAACAUGGUCGUGCAGGACUGUCGAUGUCGAUAGAGUACACGUUCACACACCAUUACCCACGCUCCUUUUCAUACAUACACACACACACACACAUAUAUACGUGUACAUAUAAACACACACUUAACUCAUUUUCACACACACACACACACACACAUACACACACACACACA